ensembl:lncRNA
GAGCUUCUUCCCUCUGCCGUAGGGUCUGGGUCUGUCCUAUGAGCCUCCUUCCUCUGUCCUAGGCUCUGAGCUGAGGCUCCUCCUCCUAGGACUCUGAUAUGAGCUCUCUUGUUCCUAAUGACGCAGGACCAAAGGAUCCAGAGACAAACGCAUCUCCGUUGGGACCAUGGCCACAGCACCGCAUCUGUCCCUGAGUCACCUUCUGAGGCCUCGACUGGCUCUUCUGUAGACUAGGAAGCCCAGGGGCGGCUGAGCCGGAGCCCGCAGGAGGUGAGCAGUGGUCUCACUGAUGCGCCCUGACCCUGGAAACAACGACCGCACAGGAGAUGCAGUGAGCAACCUCUCUGAGGCAGUGAAAGUGAGGAAAACCCAGAUGGAAUACUUUAUGGAAGCAGCCACAAGGCCUCGUUUCAGUGUUAAGAGUAAACGCUUAGUAGCAGCCUAAUUGUCACCAGACAAGGAGCUAAGCACUGCGUCAUCCCAUAAGGUCCUAGCUGUGGACUCGAACUGAUUGCCCGCUCUGUCGCUUUGAUUCAUUCAGUGAAAAAGUUGAGUGCCUACUGUGGACCUGUCCAACGUGUUGCAGGUACAUCAGUGAACAAAGUAAUCAGAGUUCCCCGACCCUGCGGAGCUGUGUUCUAGCAGGGAAGGCACACAGCAAGCACAAAGUUGAUACAUUUCGGGAACGCUCGUUAGAAACGCAUAGGUGCUAGAAGGAUCUCCCGGGGUUUUCUAGCCGUGUGACUCUGGACAGGCUACGAGCCUUUCUGUUCUUGCUUUCUCGCGAUAUAAUGAAGACAAUCGUAGUACCUACUCACAGCCCUCGGGAGGAUGACCGUGCACCGAAGGGCGCCUCGCACGUACUAGACACUCAGCAAACGGCCGCUGAACCUGACCCAACGACUCAAUGACAGUAUCACUGGCUGUCGCCCCCGGCCCGUCGCCCACACUCAGCCCAGGGCCCCGAGGUCGCAGGGGCGCGAACCCAUCACCCCCACCUGCCCUCCGGCCCGUGCCCGCUCCGCCUCCCGGUACUUGGCUACCAGAACCCGACAGCCAGGUCGGAGGACAACAAGCGGCGCGACCUCGCGCCGCCCUCGGGUCAGCGGAGCACUUCCGCUCCCGGCGCCCCGCAGCCCGAGGUCGGAGCGCGGCGCACGCGCAGGAGCUGCUUCGGGGCCUCCACGGCCAAUGGCCAAGAUGGCGCGAGUCGCAGCCAGUGAUACCGACGGGCACUUUUGAAGCAAAAGCAGUGAUUAUCUCCACUGUACCAUGAAAUACGUGACCAGUGAAAAUCAAUAACUUCCCAUUGAGAAAAAGGAGAUCUGGCCAGGUAUCUAAAACAAGAUAUGUGAACGAGACGAGAGUUAGCACAACAAAGCACCGAUGAAACCGGGGAGGAGACAGAUUUUAGAAGAGGGUUGGAUGAGACAGAAGUUGCUGGAUGUGUACUAUGUGUGUUGAUUUUAAAAUGUGUGUGUGUGUGCGUGUGUUUUAUUUAAGGUAACUUCUUUUUCUUAUUUAUUUUUAUUUUUUAACGUUUUAUUUUGUUUUUGAGACAGAGAGAGACAGAGCAUGAACGGCGGAGGGCCAGAGAGAGGGAGACACAGAAUCUGAAACAGGCUCCAGGCUCUGAGCUGUCAGCACAGAGCCCAAUGCGGGGCUCGAACUCACGGACCGCGAGAUCAUGACCUGAGCCGAAGUCGGCCGCUCAACCGACUGAGCCACCCAGGCACCCAAGGUAACUUCUUUUUAAAAAAAUUUUUUUAUUUUUUAACGUUUUAUUUUGUUUUUGAGACAGAGAGAGACAGAGCAUGAACGGCGGAGGGCCAGAGAGAGGGAGACACAGAAUCCGAAGCGGGCUCCAGGCUCUGAGCUGUCAGCACAGAGCCCGACGCGGGGCUCGAACUCGAAAACCUCGAGAUCAUGACCUGAGCCGAAGUCG